GAAACAACACUUUUUAGAAGAUAUUCUGCCUCUUCCAAUGUUUUGACCUAAACAUUCAGAAGCAACACUUGUGAAUCAGUAUGAGUAUCAUGAAGAGUUUAAAAAUGGCUUAUAGAAACUCUUAAAAUCGUGAGUGUAAGAGGUUUCGAAUAAGCCGUAUUUUUAUAGCAGUACUCAACUUGUACGUUUGACAUCUUGGAUAUUACUGUUUACACUACAUAUAUCAGUGUCAAGCAAAGCAGUAUUCAACUGAAAAGAAAGAAAACUACGGAGAAGAGAGAACUACUUUUCACUGACCAAGAUAUUUUCAAUUCUUUUCCAGGAAGAGUGCAAUUAAAACCCACCAGCACUCUCUUUAGGGGACUUGAGAGGGAAAAUGUUGUUUUAAUCUUUUCCCAUUGUUCUCCCAGGGCAUAGCACUCCUGGCUUCAAGGCAGCAUCAGCAGGACUCAAUCCCAAGCUGGGCAGAGAUGCCCGUUAACCAUACUCAAGAGAGUAUUAUUUAGCCACUUCUCCCAGUUCUAUGAGUAAUUUAUGCUUAGAAGAAAUACUACCUGCGUGUCCCACCAAACACAUAUUUGGAAAUGUUCGGGGUUGCUUAAGUACCCGCAAGGACUUGAAUGACAGAAAGUUCAUUUUUUCUCCGAAUGAACAUCUGAUUAGAGUAGCCCAUGCUUUACCCCCCUUUGGGAGACAUGCUGUCAGCCAGCAAAGCCGUGGUGGUCGUGGUAACUGUCAGUGCACAUCCAACAGCUGCUCUGUUACACAUUCCCUAACCUGGCAAGAGCUGCGCUGCUGAGAUUCUGCCGCUUUCCUCCACCCUGGCGUUGAGCUGCCGCGGCCCCGUACUUCCAGCAGGUAGGCUGGCGAGCAGCACUCGCUGCAGCUGCUCCUCAGCUUCCUUCGGCUGGUGCAUCACACGCACAAGGUCUCCCUAAGGUGCCUUCUGUGGCCUCGGCCCUGGAGACCCAACGUCACCUCUGUCAAGCAACCAGAGCUCCACAGCUGGAAGCCCGCAGGGGCCUCACUUGGUUGGCACUCAGAUUUUGCAGACAGUUGUACGCUGUGGCUUUUUGCUAUGCUGAUGGUAUAAAAUUAUUAGGAAAAACUGUGCUUAAGUGGACAUUUUGAAUUCUUUAGGCUCAAAGAAGGACUUGGUCUGCUGAAUAGAAGAUCAAUAGACUGGAUAGUGUAUGCUCCAGUGAUAGUAAAAUAACUCUAUCUGUACAGUUGUCUUGUUCUAGCUGGGCUGUAGCUGGGGCAGAACUUCAGCUACAUAAUACAGAAUUCAGUGCAAAUUAUGUUCAGUAGAUAGACAUCUUAAUCAUCACCUGAACAGUCAUUUUAAGUUUAAU
rnacentral:lncRNA from 1 species